CUCCAAACUUUGGUUUUGUGGUCAGGACAAUGAAAUUGCAGAUUAACCAGUUUUCACAUUCACUGAGUGCCGCUACACUCAAAAAAGUAAUGACCUGAU